GCCAAGGCAGAAUGCUGUGAGAUGCAGCAGGACACUGUUGAAUUCAUGAUGCAUUGCUUAGUUCAGACUGUAAAUGUUCUCAUACUGUUGAAUGGGAACACUUAGCAGCAAACUCACAGAUUGUGGUCUGCAGGGGCCCCUGUGUCCCAUCAUCCCCUGCACCUCCUCAGGUAAUUGUGGGUGGAACGAUGUGGUCUCAGAAUUCUGGAGGAGCUGGUGGAGAGCACACCUCUUAGGACAGGCAGAGCUGCCUCCUAGAUCUGAUGACUUUUUAAGGACCCCUUCCUGUCCCCAGGCCUUGCUCCUUCCACUCAAGGAUUAAGUGAGGCCCACCACAACACCAUUGGGGUUGCAUGGCUGUCAACUGCAAGGCAGGAGGGGAAAGGUGUCAGAAAUGAAGAUGGCAUAUGGAAAGGCGAUUCUUAUACUCAGAAGGAAAAGUUCCCAUGGAAGCCAUGGAUUCAUUCAUGACAAAGAUCCCAGCCAUGUUGCCCUCAGUAGCCCUCCCUCCUUGGACUGUGACAGUUUCUCCAUCUUCUUUUGUUUACAUGACCUUGAUCGCUUUGAGGAGUACAGGGUGAGUAUUUUGUAGACUGUUCCUCAAUUUGGGCUUGUCAUAUUUUUUUUGUCAUGAUUAGACUGGCACUGUGGGCUUUGGGAAGGACACCCUACAGAUAAAGUGCUGAGCCCCACUUGAGUGAGAAAUCUCUAUGUCUUUGCUGCCUUUUCUUCUCUUCAUUUUCUCUUUCUCUCUUUUCUGAUUUUUCUCUCGCAAGUGGACUCACACUCUAAGUAAGCUGAAGGGAAAUAUGAUUGUUCUCUGGAGGGAAAUUAGAAUUUGGAACUGAAGAAAGCAUUUUGCUUGUGCCAACCUCCGUUAUACUUGACAUGCCAAAGACCACCACAGGGAUUUAACCUUGCUUAUUUCUCCCAGCUCUCACAUUUGCUGGCUCUAUAUUGACACAUGACAUGAAAUUGAGGGUUCCUUCAGUUCUAUGUUCAUUUCAAGUUGCAGGUGCUAACAUUUCAGCCACAUGCCCUGGGGGUCUUCUGCUUCUCUCCUCAGCAUGCCCAUGUCUCCAUCUCUGCACGCUCAUAUUGUGUCCUUUCUUUACAGCCCAGGUCACAUGCCACUGCUGUCCCUCCACAGCUAGGCUGGAGUCCAAGGUGGGAGUCAGGAUAGAUACACAGCUACAAAGGAAAGCACAAGUUGUGAGGGAUUCUGAAACAGGGCUCAGUACCUGGGCUAGUGGUUUGGCCUCUGGGUGGAAGCCCCCAUAAUUCAUUUCUAUCUCCAGGCCAUAGGUUCCAGCAGUUCUCAUGACCCAGGUUACCACACAUUGCUAGACAGGUGGGAGGCUCUAGCUGAACUGUCCUGAAUCCCCAGCCGCAGGCUGUCUGACCCACCCAGGCAGUGUUUCCUAGCUGGUAAGGAGAAACCUUUGAAAUAGGUGAUCCUUGAGUGUGUUAUAUAGGAACUGAUAAGUAAUUUCACCUUAAAACUAAAUGCUUUUGGGGGAAGACAAUAUUAUUGAAAUAAUUUAAGCUUCAUCUUUAAAAUUCUAAAUAAAAAUACUUUAGCUAAUGGUAAUUAACAUUCUGAAAUCAUAUUUCUUAAUUUUGAAGAUGGGUUCAAGAAGGGGGAAAAACCCAGAAAGAUGACUGGCAAAUUUCAAACUGAAUAUUUAAUUUUCACAUGAUUUAGGCUGAAAUGCUCUGCAAUCUAUAGGUUUGUGAAGGUUAAAAUUCAUCAGAGCACAUGGUUUCUUCAAGCGAAAUCACAACUGGGGGCUUAUGAAGGACGUCUUCAGUGGCACAUGCUUGUUGGGGGAAAAGCCUUGUUUAAAACAUAAGACAGAAAGUGAAACUGAUAUUCUUCAUGCAUUUCUUUGAGCUGCAGCCUGGUCUGGCAUUCACUGAAACCAAAUAUUGCUGCUGUUCUGCCUUUGCUAUAGCAGGACAAAUCAGAAAGUGCUCAAGAACAAUACGCAAAUUACAGGCAUUCAAAGACACUUGAUGUGGAUUCAGGCUGAGCCUUCUGGAGAACAUCCCCAAACUAUGUUUUCUGUGUUUCACAGAAACCACGGUUUCUCUUCCCCUUCCCCUAACUCCAGUUUCACCAAAGGCAGCAUGGUAUGACGAUAGAAGAAGUAUGGGUUUUAGGGGGUCACUGGCUGAGGUUCAAGUCUCAGCAACUUUGUUGCUAACUAUGGUAUCCUGAACAAGCUAUUUGGUUUCAGAGUCUCAAUUUCAUCUGGUGUAAAUAGGGCCAGGCUAGUUAUUCCCAAGCAUUUCAAAGUCAUUAUGAACAUUAACAGUAGUUACCAUUGGGAAAGCCUCUAGUAUAGCUGCUAGGAUAUGAAAGGUGUUAAGGAAGCAUCCUUUGACUUCUCUGCACUAUAGAUUUUUAUUAUUAUUAUUUAUGUAGUUGGUCUAUAAAGAAAGAGAAAAGUCUCCUAGAGCUUAUCAUGGAAAUAAGCCCUUGUCCAUUCCACUGGCUUACUCCACUGGCCUACUCCACUGACUAUGUAGGAUGGGUACUGAGAUGUCACAUGGCAAUAGGGUCCGUGCUUCUUUUGGUCCUGCCAGUCAGAACAUGGGGAGGUGAAAACUGCUGCAUAGAGGAGGCAGGGGACUUGAGGGUAGGAGAAAGCUACCCCACCACCCCCUUUUCUCACUGUAAGGACAUUUGAGCACUCUUUCCCCCACCAUUCUGCUCCAUGUGAACAUGUAUGUCCCACAUAUAUGUUUUGCUUGUUCAUGCCGAGUCAGCUGCAGCAAAGCACGAGUCUGCAAUUUAGUGUCAUUGUCAGGGCCUAACACAUGGAAUGAGUUUGAUAUUCACUUGUAGAAGAAGAGGAGAGAGCUGGGAAUGGAUUUGGAGAAGGACUGACCAGAGGAUGGAAGAAUAGUCAGAGCUUGGUUAUGGAAAUGCCUCCAUUGGCAGAGAAGGGGAGCCACUGGAUGGGCUUCUUAUGGUCACUGAGGUUUUAGGGAUGGUCUGAGGAUACUCCAGGCUUUUAGCACAGACCUGCAAGGCAGACUGCAGGGAGAACAGUACUUUAGAUCCACUAAAAAUAAUUCACCUUUAUAGAUUCUUUCAGCACUUCACCUUUACCUCUAAAUGCAUGAGAGGGGUUUCUGCCUUCUAUGGACCACAGUUCAAAGACCACACUACUUACUCAUAAGUCUGGCUCCCAAUAAGGGGCUCAAUUAUCAGACUUUCACUUCAUUUACCCCUACGCUCUACUGACCUCACAACUCUCUGGCCUCAUUGGGAUGCCCGAUCCGUUGAUCCUGACGCUUUCUUACUCUCUCGCCUUCCUUGUGGCUUCAAUCUUCUCCUGAUCAAGCUGUGGCUCCUUCAUCAGUGCCAUAUUCACUACUUUAAAAAGUUACUACCUCCCUUGUUUCCUUUCCCUCAUAUUACCCUUGUCCCUAAACUCCCAACCUGGUUAAACUCAGCCAUUUCCUUACACUGAGUUGUACCUGAGCAUCUCUAUACUACCAGAGGGAAAAAAAACAUCUUGUCAUAACUGGGCUGAUUGAAUGAUUGAACUCUCUUUAAACUAAUGACCACAAAUCUCAAAUUUCAUAUCUUCUCUUAUCUCCAGAAACCUCCAAAAAGCCUCACUUCAGACUGAUGAAUUUGCCUCACAUGAUACCAAGAAAUAGGUGUGUUACAGCUCCCAUGUAAACAAAACCCUUCAGUGUGCCCUGGAGAAACAGUCUAUCUGUAUAAAUGGCAUGUUAUCUUUACUAAUGUAUAAAUUAAAAUAGAGUUCCAUUCUACAUUUAAGCCCAAACUGAAAUAGCUCUAACGUCCACCACUAAGCUUUGUCAAUCAGGGAUGAAGUCUUCCUCAGAUCAUAUUGACUUUUCUCAGCAACAAUCUUCGACUGACAUCUGUGAAAUUAUUUUCUUUCAUCCCUUGUCUGAUGUCUUCAGAACCACCUGAUGGUAGCUCAGCACUAAUAGUGACCAUUGUGAGGACAUCAAUGUCUAUUCCAGGGAUGAUCUUGCCACAGUCUCUUAAACUCAUUAAUCUCUGGAGGUUAAAACACUCCGAUUCUCUGCAAGAGUUCAGGAGGGAAAGACGACCUCUGUGUCUCUGCAGCAUGAUGAUUGGCAAAAAUCCAAAAUGUCUGUGCACACUGCUGGUGAGGCUAUGGUAAAACAAUUACAUAUUUCUGGUUGGUGUGUCCUUGUGAAGUGAAAUUUGGCAGUAAGUAACAAAAUUACUCAUGCAUUUCCCACGGAUCAGCAUCUCCACUUGACAUAAAAUAAAUGCUAGAGAUACACAUCUACAGGUAUGAACUACAAGUUCUGUAGUAUACAAGGAUACAGUUAAUUUAUUCUGUUGUCUAUGAUGGCAUAAACAGCUUAAGUGCUUAUCAAUAGGGGACUGCUUGUAUAAAGUAGAUUUCAGAUUACAAUGGGCUACUAUAUAGGUAAAAAAAAAAAAAAAGAAUAAGUAGAAGAAUUCCAAUUAAUAAACGUAGGAGGAAUGAGGCAACUAGAACAUUUUCAUUAGAACAUCACAGUAAUAGUUGCUGCAAGCAAGAUCCACAGAUUAAUGCUACAAUUAGUGAGUGAAACAUUAACGAGAAACAGGAUAAUUGCAUAGCCUUGAGGUAUCUCAAUACAUUAAUCAUGUAUUAAUGAUUGUGGUGCUCACAGAUUGAGAAAUGUGCAUAACCUAGAUGAAGAAAACCUUGUGACAUCACAAAAGGACACUUGAACAAAUUAAAAUGUAUAUGAUACAAAAUUACAAAUAUGUCAAUUAAUCAUAAAUAGGAUUGCUAUGUCUUCUUGGUGGAUUGACCCUUUUAUCAUUACAUAAUGUACCUGGUAAUUUUCUUUGCUCUGAUGCUUACUUUACCUGAUACUAAUAUAGCAAUUCCUGCUUUUCUUUUGGAUUAAGAUUUGCAUGGUAUAUAUAUUUCCAUCCUUUUACUUUCAACCUACCUGUAUCAUUAUAUUUGAAGUGAGUUUAUUGUAAACAGCAUUUAGUUGGGUCAUGUUUUUCAAACUACU